rfam:Sphingopyxis sp. RIFCSPHIGHO2_12_FTLL_65_19 rifcsphigho2_12_scaffold_497, whole genome shotgun sequence.
GCGGGCCAACGCGGACGCCCGGUCAGGCGGCAAACGUCGCCCAAGUUCCGC